UACGAAGGAUGCAAGCGUUAUCCGGAUUUAUUGGGCGUAAAGAGCGUGUAGGCGGCCAUUCAGGUCAGCUGUGAAAACUCGAGGCUCAACCUCGAGACGUCGGUUGAAACCGUUUGGCUAGAGUCCGGAAGAGGAGAGUGGAAUUCCCGGUGUAGCGGUGAAAUGCGCAGAUAUCGGGAAGAACACCCGUGGCGAAGGCGGCUCUCUGGGACGGUACUGACGCUGAGACGCGAAAGCGUGGGGAGCGAACAGG
rnacentral:rRNA from 1 species